rnacentral:rRNA from 1 species
UACGUAGGUGGCAAGCGUUGUCCGGAAUUAUUGGGCGUAAAGGGCGCGUAGGCGGUUUCCCAAGUCCGGGGUGAAAUCUUUCGGCUCAACCGGAAAAGGGCCUUGGAUACUGGGAAACUGGAGGGAGGUAGGGGCAGCUGGAACUUCCGGUGGAGCGGUGAAAUGCGUUGAUAUCGGAAGGAACGCCGGUGGCGAAAGCGAGCUGCUGGCCCUCUUCUGACGCUGAGGCGCGAAAGCCAGGGGAGCAAACGGG